rnacentral:rRNA from 1 species
GACGAACGCUGGCGGCGUGCUUAACACAUGCAAGUCGAGCGAUGAAGCUCCUUCGGGAGUGGAUUAGCGGCGGACGGGUGAGUAACACGUGGGUAACCUGCCUCAUAGAGGGGAAUAGCCUUUCGAAAGGAAGAUUAAUACCGCAUAAGAUUGUAGCUUCGCAUGAAGCAGCAAUUAAAGGAGUAAUCCGCUAUGAGAUGGACCCGCGUCGCAUUAGCUAGUUGGUGAGGUAACGGCUCACCAAGGCGACGAUGCGUGGCCGACCUGAGAGGGUGAUCGGCCACAGUGGGACUGGGACACGGCCCAGACUCCUACGGGAGGCAGCAGUGGGGAAUAUUGCACAAUGGGGGAAACCCUGAUGCAGCAACGCCGCGUGAGUGAUGACGGUCUUCGGAUUGUAAAGCUCUGUCUUCAGGGACGAUAAUGACGGCACCUGAGGAGGAAGCCACGGCUAACUACGUGCCAGCCGCCGCGGUAACAC